rnacentral:tRNA from 1 species
AAGAAAUUAGUUAACUUAUAAUAUUAAUCUGUCGCGUUAAAGUAAUCCUCUGGAUAUUUCUUG